CCUACGGGUGGCAGCAGUGGGGAAUAUUGGACAAUGGGGGAAACCCUGAUCCAGCGAAGCCGCGUGAGUGAAGCAGUAUUUAGGUACGUAAAGCUCUAUCAGCAGGAAAGAAACUGACGGUACGUGACUCAGAAGCCCCGGCGAACUACGUGCCAGCAGCCGCGGUAAAAAGUAGGGAGCAAGCGUUAUCCGGGUUGACUGGGUGUAAAGGGAGCGUAGACGGCAGCGCAAGUCUGGAGUGAAAUGCCGGGGCCCAACCCCAGAACUGCUCUGGAAACUGGGAAGCUGGAGUGCAGGAGAGGUAUGCGGAAUUCCUGGGGUAGCGGUGAAAUGCGUAGAUAUCAGGAGGAACACCGGCGGCGAAGGCAGCUUACUGGACUGUAACUGACGUUGAGGCUCGAAGGCGUGGGUAGCAAACAGGAUUAGAUACCCCAGUAGUC
rnacentral:rRNA from 1 species